UGGCAGCUGUAGCUCAGAUUCGACCCCUAGCCAGGGAAAUCCAUAUGCCACAAGUGCGGCCCUAAAAAGAAAAAAAAAAAAAUCUAUUCCACUUUUGAAAUAAAGAAUUUUCUUUUGAACAGAAAAUCUGGCAACCUUCUUAAGUAAAACUAUUCUUCCAGAAAGUAAUUAUUUAUGAAAAUUUUUAAUUUAAAUAAUACCACUUUUAGAAUAUCUAUAGGACCAGGAAACUGUUUUCAUAAAAGACUCAGGGAAAAGAUUUAUAAACAAUCAAAAUAUUGUUUAUAAAUAUCUAUAAACAUUGCAAAAUAUUUACAAGUAAGAGUAAAGAAACUUAAUUGUUGCUCUCCAGCUCACCAUUUCAUGGAUAAAUAAAUCAUUCCAUAACAUAGAAACUGAUGUUAUUUCAUAACGUUCUCUACCUAGACUAUCUACAUGAUUUAGCAAAAGAAACAAAUUUAAAAACUAAAAGUGACCAAUAACUUAUAAUAUGUCAACUAAAUAUUCACAGUAAAUGUCUACAUAAAAUGUUGAGAUACUCAUUUAAGUUUCCAAGAUCAAUCUAAAAGCUACCACUUCCAAGCUAAUGCUUAUCUAUAAAAAUUCUAGCCCUAUACAUUCUAUCGUGUCUAAAUCGACUUUAGAUUUUAAAAAAAAGUAUUUUUCAAAGAACAAGUUGAGAUAUCAAAGCAGAAAUUCAGGGUCUGAAAAAUGAGUGGUUUUACUCAGAAAAUGGAUAGCUUAGGAAUUUUACAAGCCUUUAGAUUCAAGAGUAAUCAAGCUAAGACCAGUUGGGUCAUGAUUCACUCUCCUAUGCUACUUGUAAUUUUCUAUCUGGUAUGUUUUUCAUUUUAUACAUUUCAUGCUGUUUGUCUCUAUGGUUACUUAAUCAAAAUGAGUACCCGGUCCAUACACAGGAAGUACUAUUUCCUUGUGAAUUCCACAUACUAAAUUAAUAACCUCUUAUACUUUUGCAACGACUAGUUUACAUUUCACCUCUAAGGAAAAAGUUUCAGAAGAUUCUUUUGACUUUCUUUCUUUUUGAAUUUCGUAUAUUAUACAGACUUCAGUAUUUCAUGAUAGUUGAGUUUGCCAACACAUCACAAUCUACGUUCUUUGACAUAUCAUGCCUUUGCCCAUCAGUAAGUGCUCUUCUGAGCCUCAGUCAGACAUACCUUAGUUUUUAAAAAACACUUUUUUUGUCUGUAUCAAAUCUAAGUCAAAAUCAAUUGACAAAAUUAGGUGAAUACUAGUAUUCAUUCAUUCAUCAAACCAGGACCUGGAGAGAAGUACAUAAACACCAACUCCUCGGUGACUCACCAUGGUUAGGUUUCCUAAGCAACACUAGAGCAUCUUAUUUUAAAGAAAAUUAAAAUGUGGUUUGAUACUAUGUAUAUUCUCCACCUGAAAGCAUGUAUGCAAUAAUUAGGAGUAUAGACCUUAGACUUUCUGGGUUCAUAUCAUGAAUCUAACAUUGACUUGUUAUGGACAAAUUACUUAACAAUGCCUCAGUUUCCUCACUGUAACAGGAUUAUUUUAAAGAAAAAAAAGAGAUUUACAUUUUUAAUGUGUGGAAUAGUUCCUGACCCUAUCUAAGCAUUGGUUAAAUAUCAAUCAAUCAGUCUUACCCCAUGUAGCAUGAAACCAUGGCUUCUAAGAAAAAAUUUUUUAUGAGAAAUAUUUUUCCACCCUCCCAUGAGGCAAGAUAAUCCUGACUUUAAAUUUCCUUGUAUAGCACUUAAAUAUUAGCCGAUCAGCUAGUCUCAUAUCUAUGAGAGUUCUAGGCACUAACCAUAUUGGGCAUUUUAUGUAUCACUUCAUUUAAUCUACUGUGGGAAUCCUACAAAGAUUGGCAAUUUUCUCAUUACAGAUGAGAAAACUCUAGUUUUGAGAAGAUAGAUAAUUUGCACAAAUUCACUGAGUUAGUGGCAGAAAUGGGCCAACUGAAGACAUCUCCUAAGCCAAUGUUUUUAAUCAGUCCAUCACCAUGGAUAGAGCACUAGAAAAAAAGAUAAUUUCACAACUUUUCAAAACUAAAAAUUUGUCCCAUCCAAGUAUUCUUAGCCACAUCCUGGAAGCCCAGCAAUGUAAAAUUUGAAUACAUCAGUGCCUGAGCAUGUGUUUCCUGCUUCCUAGAAGCCAUGGGCUUAUGUGUGUGAUUGAUCCCCACGGUUUACUAAGGUUCAUCAGUGGAAAUCAAGGCUACAUCGGCAAUGGCCUCUAGGUGGUAUCUGGAAUCACGUCAAAAAUGACCUUCUGAAGCUUCCCCAUACAUGUUUGUAAAAUACUGGCACCAGAGUAUUUAGUCUUAGCAGCUACAUAGUUCUGGAAAGUCCAACUUAUCAACCUAUUAGCCUAAUGAUUAGUUAGCUCUAAUGUAACAGUCUCAAGGAUGAAUGUCCUAUUAUUGAUAGGAAACACUGACUAGCUCUGAGUGGGUCUUUUCAAAUUGUGAAACUCCAAUAAAAUGUCUCCACUCACUUGGCUUGGCUCAAUUGCUAAUGAAGAAGUCUGGAUUUUAUGAACUCCCUGACCAAAAGCAGUCAGUACAAAAUCUUAAUGUCAGCCUAUCCUGUCUUUGCUGACAGAUCCCAGAAGGGCCUACCAAUGACUCACUUUCACCAGUUAAAAAAUAAGCAGAAGCCACUUCUUUGUUCCUCUCUGAAACAACUGACUUGGGAAGUUUGGCCCUCUACCACUCAGAUAAGUGUCUAAAAUAAUGUUCUUUGUCUCUGAGUAUCACUGGCUACCAGUGAUCUCUGUUUCAGUGAAGAAGGGUGUAAUUUUAGAUUCUCCUGAACCGAAAGACUAAAUUCUGGAUUUGAUAACACUAGAUACUUAAUGCCAAAAGAAGAACCAUGCAGAAGGCUGCAGAAGCAUUCAGACAGCUUAGGAGGGAAAUGGAAUGUGGAACUGCUUCAGAAGAGUUGUGGUUCAUGUUGCUACCAGACAUGCUGAGAGGCAGAACUUGUAGCUGGCAGAUGCUCAACACAGAAUAAGCUGCUCAUCUCUCUAGCACUGCUUAGAAAAGAUCACCUCUUUUAGAAGAGGGACUAUACAUGUACAACAUAGCAGUCAUCAUCCUGGUCAGUGAUCUAGACAAAACAUCUGAGUUACAGCAUGAAAAUCACAGUUCAUUAAGAUGGUUUGCAGGCACAUCAAAAAUUAAAAAAGCAGCUUCAGAUCAAAGGAGUGGAGAGAUUAUUAUAUUCAUUGUAUUCCAGAAAUCUGCUUCUACAUCACUUAAUUCUAGUAAACCCUGGGUUGACACUUCCAACUACAGUAUAGAUUAUAAACUAAUUAAAACCAUUUAUAGGACCCUUGACUUACAAGACUAACUU
rnacentral:lncRNA from 1 species